GAUUUUCAGUAUACAGACUCAAAUGUCCGGCAAAAUAAUAUGCCUUUCGUUACCUAUGACCACGAAAACAUGGGAUGGGCGAAAGAGUACGGCGGCGGCUUCUGGUUGAAUGACUUGUUCAGUGCUUUCCCGACCGGGCGGUACAAUAGGACAGAUGGGAAUGGAGUUAUUUGGUAUUCAUGGAGAGAAGGUCAGUCACUGAAAGAAAUCGCCAUGUCAAUCAGACCAAAGGGAGUGGUUUAAAGAAUUGCUGUCUCCGGGUCUACAGUGCAGAAAUAAAAUAAUAAAUUUAAUGAACCGUACUUCUAUAUGGAUGGAUGGCUUGUUCGGUGAAAAAUACAUAGAUUGAUGAAUACAGAGAUCCAGUUAGAUGCGUUAUUAAAUUUGAUGAAUUAAA